rnacentral:tRNA from 1 species
GGCCUCGUAGCUCAGCUGGUAGAGCAUGUGUGUAAAAGCGUAGGCGGCGUCCAUGCGUGGGUUCGAAUCCCACCGAGGCUA